rnacentral:rRNA from 1 species
CCUACGGGAGGCAGCAGUAAGGAAUAUUGGUCAAUGGGCGCAAGCCUGAACCAGCCAUGCCGCGUGCAGGAAGACGGCCCUAUGGGUUGUAAACUGCUUUUGAACAAGAGAAAACCUCGGUACGUGUACCGAGCUGAUAGUAUUGUUAGAAUAAGCAUCGGCUAACUUCGUGCCAGCAGCCGCGGUAAGACGAAGGAUGCAAGCGUUAUCCGGAUUCAUUGGGUUUAAAGGGUGCGUAGGCGGCCUGAUAAGUCAGUGGUGAAAUCUCUCAGCUUAACUGAGAAACUGCCAUUGAUACUGUCGGGCUUGAGUACAGAUGAUGUGGGCGGAAUAUGACAUGUAGUGGUGAAAUACUUAGAUAUGUCAUAGAACACCGAUUGCGAAGGCAGCUCACAAAACUGUAACUGACGCUGAGGCACGAAAGUGCGGGGAUCAAACAGGAUUAGAUACCCUGGUAGUCCGCACCGUAAACGAUGAUUACUCGUUGUUGGCAAAUAUGACCGUCACGCGACCGACGACGAACGACGAGUAAGUAAUACCACCCGUACGGGAGGUACGGCCCGGCCGACCGGUACGAAACGUAACGUAAGUAAGUAGACGACGAGAGAGCGACGACGGACGACGACGGAGGGAGGAG